GUGUCAUUCAGCAAUGCCAACUUUUGUACUCCACACACUGACUGCAUGCAUUUUGGUUAAAGAAGAUGUUGUCCUAUUCCCUGCUAGCUCAGCCAUGCGAAAUCUCAUUCAAUCUCGAUUUUUGGAAUAAGUUCAACAUACCACAUCAUGUAGAUCCAGGGUGAACCAUGAAAAACAACAGGAGUUAUUACUCAAGGCCGGAGCACACCCUCUAUUUCCCAUUCUAUCUCCUGCUAGGACUUGUAGCCUGUUUCAAGAGAAGGGAAACAUGCCCUGACACCAGCACUGUCCAGGAUAAAGACGGCUUCUGCAAGGCGCCCUCAUCAUGGGGGUGGAAGGGGGAGGAUGGGCAGAGGAAAAGAGGAAGAUGGAUGAAAGGCUGGGUGUAAUAUGAUGAAGAGUGGUGAGGGGAAGAUAAGCGAGAGACAGAAGAUAGUUCUUUCUCAGUUUGAUGAACAGUAGCAGCGGGGGGCCUGGAGAAAAACAGAAGAGAACAAUUGGAUGGAGCGGAGGAGGAGAGGUGAAAUGAACACCCUUCGUAGAACAACAGAUGGGCUGUUGAAGGGAUGGAGGCGAUGAAAGGGUGGAAAUUUAAAAGGCAAAGGGGAUCUGCAGUUGAAAAGGUCACAUUGAGGUGGUUUGUUUAUGUGGCAGGCAGCUUGAAUGAUGAUGUACUCUGCAAACAUGAGGAAAUGUUGCGCCUUGAGGUGCUGCCUGAAUUUAACAGCCCUCUGCAAAUGUCUCUGAUGGACCACAACUGUCGGACAGCACCUUCAGUCACUAGGAGUAAAGGACAGUCAAGUAAAUAAUGACUUAUUCAGUGUAUUAUGUAUCAUAGAUCCAGUCAUUUUAUUUGCCUGAGCCAGAAUAACCUACGGUUGUUUGGACAGCACUACCACAUAUUGGCUUGUGUUUAUACUUCUCACGCCUGUUGCUAAUGGAACACAUGUGGUCUAUACACAAUAUUGCCAGUCAAACGACUGGCUUUAUAUCUGCAUGUUGAUUAAACGACUUCAGUUGAUUUAAACUGCUCUGCACAUAAAACCGACACCAGUGUGGUAGUUUAGCAGUAUUAGCUUCCUCCCUCUCUGAGUACAACUCAAGGUAAACUGUCAGCACCACGGCUUGAACCCGGGGCCCUCUGCCUUACUAUCAUAUGACCGCCCGCUUGAUCCAAUUCCAUAGCACUAUUGGCGGCAUUUCGAGCUAACUGUGUCGUUAGCUUACAGCACUUCCUUGUCUCCGUUACACACACUGUGACAGAGUUUGAUCCUCUACAUCCAUUAUUAUCCAUGUGCCGUGCGUCACAUCUAUGUUCAUAAUAAACAGCCUUUCCAACGUAGGCUUUCCAAUUAUUCCCU
ensembl:lncRNA